rnacentral:rRNA from 1 species
UUAGAGGAAGUAAAAGUCGUAACAAGGUUUCCGUAGGUGAACCUGCGGAAGGAUCAUUAACGAAUAUAAAUCGGAAAGCUGUCGCUGGCCUUUCGGGGCAUGUGCACGCUGACCGUGUUUCAAAAAUUUCUCACCUGUGAACCUAAUGUAGGAUGCCUCUCCUCUGGGAGGGGGGACCUAUGUCUUCAUAUACAUCUUCGUGUAGAAAGUCUUAGAAUGUUUACUAUCAGAGAGUCGCGACUUCUAGGAGACGUGAAACUCUGAGAUAAAAGUUAUUACAACUUUCAGCAAUGGAUCUCUUGGCUCUCGCAUCGAUGAAGAACGCAGCGAAAAGCGAUAUGUAAUGUGAAUUGCAGAUCUACAGUGAAUCAUCGAAUCUUUGAACGCACCUUGCGCUCCUCGGUGUUCCGAGGAGCAUGCCUGUUUGAGUGUCAGUAAAUUCUCAACCCUUCUUGAUUGAGGGAGUUUGGAUAGUGGGGGUUGCUGGAGACUUUUAUUAGACUCGAGCUCUCCUGAAAUGCAUCGGCUUGCGGUCGACUUUCGACUUUGCGCGACAAGGCUUUCGGCGUGAUAAUGAUCGCCGUUCGCUGAAGCGCAUGACUGAAGGUUUCGCGCCUCUAAUACGUCGACUCUUAUUAUCUCUUCGGAGAGAAAAGGUCUUCUUUAUUGACUUUUGACCUCAAAUCAGGUAGGACUACCCGCUGAACUUAAGCAUAUCAAUAAGCGGA